UACUCCAUAGGUCUAGGAUGCUGGAAUGCUUCUAGGCCCAAAACUCCGGUGCCUUAGGAUUGGUCUGCGGCCUAUCAGGCAGUAGUGGGUGUAACGGACCCACUAGCCCGUGACGGGUAUGGGCCUUGAGAGAGGGUGCCCAGAGAUGGACUCUGAGACAUGAGUCCAGGCCCUACGGGGCGCAGCAGUCGCGAAAACUUCGCAAUGGGGGAAACCCCGACGAGGGAAUUCCAAGUGCUAGCACUUUGUGUUAGCUGUUCUUCUGUCUAAAAAACAGGAGAAGUAAGGGGCGGGUAAGACGGGUGCCAGCCGCCGCGGUAAUACCCGCGCCCCGAGUGGUGGUCGAUAUUAUUGAGCCUAAAACGUCCGUAGCCGGUUUCCUAAAUCCUUGGGUAAAUCGGGCAGCUUAACUGUCCGAAUUCCGGGGAGACUGGGAAACUUGGGACCGGGAGAGGUCAGAGGUACUUCUGGGGUAGGGGUAAAAUCCUGUAAUCCUGGAAGGACCACCGGUGGCGAAGGCGUCUGACUAGAACGGAUCCGACGGUGAGGGACGAAGCCCUGGGGCGCAAACGGGAUUAGAUACCCCGGUAGUCCAGGGUGUAAACGCUGUGGGCUUGGUGUUGGGGGUCCUUUGUGGGCGCCCAGUGCCGGAGAGAAGUUGUUAAGCCUACUGCUUGGGGAGUAUGUCCG
rnacentral:rRNA from 1 species